rnacentral:lncRNA from 11 species
GUUUUGGCAACUUGCUUUGUGAGGAAAAGGUAAUGGCUGUGGAACUCUUCUUACCGGGAUGGGUGGUUUAGCUCCUCCCACAACAUCCCCUCCCUCAUUUUCAAUGAAGGCCACUACAUUACAGAAGAGGCCAAACUUCCAGAUGAUUUCAAAAAAUCCAGUGCCUCGCCACCUUCUGAAAAGCUGAAAAUGUUGUAUCCCCACCUGUAUCUGAGCUGUCAGGCGAUACACUACAUGCUGGAAGCUAGCAGAUGCCUGGACCGGUUCAAUUUCAUAGGUCAUGUUGUCAAAAUGAGCCACACCUCUGAGUCCUCCAGAGCAAAUGCUGAGGGUGACCUGGGAAGAGAGCUGGCCCUGAACAAAGCCAUGAUAGAAACAGUCAUCCUUGAUGAAAGGAUAAUCCAC